AAGUAUAACGCAGACAAGGCCAUCGUGGACAGUGGCACCACGCUGCUGCGCCUGCCCCAGAAGGUGUUUGAUGCGGUGGUGGAAGCUGUGGCCCGCGCAUCUCUGAAUUGCAGGUGCUGCAGUGUCUGAAAUUUCCGGGCCUUUCUCAACAGAGGAUGUAGCCAGCAACUGUGUCCCCGCUCAGUCUUUGAGCGAGCCCAUUUUGUGGAUUGUGUCCUAUGCGCUCAUGAGCGUCUGUGGAGCCAUCCUCCUUGUCUUAAUCGUCCUGCUGC
rnacentral:lncRNA from 1 species